GCCUGGGUGGCUCAGCGGUUGAGCAUCUGGCUUUGGCUCAGGGCAUAAUCCUGGAGUCCUGGGAUCAAGUCCCACAUCAGGCU
rnacentral:tRNA from 1 species